ensembl:lncRNA
GGUGUGCGCGCGUGCGCGUGCGUGGGUAUGUGCGUGUGAGUGUGUGGUGGGAGGGUGAUGGUGGUGGCGAUGAGUGCUCGAAUUGAAGCUGCUUCUUCUGGUUCGGUGGCUGUAGUUCGCUUUGCUGGCAUUUUCCGCUGAGUCAGAAGGGCUGACAGAGACCCGGCACUCACUAGCUGGGGAUACCGUCUGGAAGCGAUUUACUGAGGGUCUCUUGCAGCAGGUUGAUUGGGGAGGAAGUAAAGAGAAGUAGAAAUGCAUGCGUGCUUUCCUGGGUCUGAAGAAGAUAGUAAAAAACUCUCAGGAAGAGAUUUAAUUCUACUACUUUGUCGUUUGUGCGUUUCUUGUAAAGCACACAGUAAGUCGCGAUUCUUAUCAAAGCUGAGCCCUCAUAGGCACCUCACAACUCACUUCCUCUGAGAUUGACACAACCGGCUCGGUCCCCCAGCACACAGGUACACACAUAUCUUAGCCUCCUGUAGUUAUGCAAACCAGCAACUCAGGGCGAACUUUCAAGACUCGGAACACAGUGAUAAUCCUUAACUGCAAGCCACAGGCGACUGACGAGCUCCGAGGGACCAGCGGACUGGACUUAGGUUGAAGCAGCUGUCCUUAUCUGGGACACAUUCUUCUCAUGGCAGAGGGGAGGAACAAAGAAAUUGACCCAAAUUAUU